UUUUGACAACACUGAUUUCCUUUAUUUUGUAUAAGUACUCAUUAAUAGGAUUGUUGUAUCAUAUGUAUCUUUGUCUGUUUUGCAUUGUUAUAAGGAAUACCUGAGACUGGGUAAUUUAUAAAGAAAGGAGGUUUACUUGCCUCACGGUUUUGCAGGCUAUACAGGCAUGGCAUCCAUAUCUGCCCAACUUCUGGUGAGGCUUCAGAAAGCUUUUACUCAAGGAAGAAGGUGGAAGAGGAGCAGUAGUAUCACAUGGGUAAGGCUGGCCUGUGAGUGAAGUACAGAAGGGAAGAUGAGGAUAAGUCUCAGAACAGAAGGCUCAAAUAAUCAGAUAAAAUUCAUCAGGUUUUGAAUAAACCAUCUUGAAAAUUCAGUAAAUCAGUGAUUCAUAUGAAGCAGGAGGAGGAGGCUCAGUUAGCUAGGAAAAUCUGUGUCCCUACUACUCAGAUUUCUGCCUGUGAUUUACCAUGACAGAAGGCUUGGCAUACGCCAUAUUCAAGGUCUUCAUAUAUCCUGGCAUAAUUUAAGUUAGUUGGCUCUACUCAAACCAGCUUAGGAAAUAAGAGGAAGAAGAAAAGGAAGAAUAACAAGGAAACAGAGAGGAGGAGGAAGAGAAUGUAAGAAUUUGUAGUUAUCAUUAGGUACAACUGGAUCUCGGAAUUUAAGCAAUGUUAUUAGCUUGUACUCCUCAUCCCCUAACUCUGUUCUAUUCUCCGCAUGUUGGCAAUAAACUGUUGGUAAUAUAUCCAAAGCCAAAACAUUUGUUGAUUGAAAAAAUGAUUUAAAAUAAUGCUAACUCUA